AAGGAACAUUGAAAUCAUUGUAGUUUUAUGAGGUUUUUUCCUUCAUUUUCCCUUUAAAGGGUUUAAAACAGUGUAAAUCAGGAUAAGGUGUUAAUUUAUAAUGUGUUGUUUCAUCUUAAAGGAUAUUUUAAAUGUAUUUAAAUUAGCUCUCUGCUCAAAACCAGAAGGUAAAUACAUAAAGGCUUUAUAAGUUAUUGCUGAAUAUUUUUCUAAAGGAAAAAAAAAGUUUCAGCAAUUUAUAGAAAUGUUUUAGAUUCUUUCAUUUUUAGCCUAAAGGGGAAAUUAGUGAGAUGCCAGAAUGAGGUAGUUAGAGUAAUGAGAAGAGAGAAAUGAGGAAAAAAUGGACAAUGGAAAGACAUUAUCCUGCUAGAAAGAUAACGAGAGGGAAUAAGAAAUAAAGGAAGGAGGGGAGCAUUAAUGAAAAUGAACACGGGUAUGCAUCGUGUCUAGGGAAAUAAUGAGAAUAUAGCAAAAAUCCUCAAAUCCUUUCUCCUUCCUCUGUAUGUGUAUUUUUCACUAUGCAAGGAGGUAUAGAGCACUGUUGAACAGCAGGCAGCUCAAAGCAACUGGAACAAGGAAAAAGAAAAAAGCAUAACAGCAAUUCUUUCCACUAUAUAAACAGUCUUUUAGAUUCAUUAGAAAACAAUUUUGGAAAUAUUUGAUAAUUGUUGCUUUCAGUCAUAACAGGUAUGUGAACAAUACACUUUCUAUUCAUAUCAAAUCCGUUUGAGUAAGGUUGGUUGAGUUUGACAUUCUUUGCUUAAUCGAGCUUGCUCAUACUUUUUUAGAUAUGUCCCACUAAUGAAUGACUGAUGUGAACUGACAUAAUGUAGGAUUGCCAUAGUGCAUUUCUUUAGUGACUUCGGUGUAUUUUGGGAAUAUUGUUUUAAUUCUAAAGCAGGAAAGGGGGGGGUCAGAGGUCAUUUAGCCCAACUGUCAUUUCAUAAAUGAAGAAAAUAAAAUCCUAGAAAAGCUACGUGUUUUUGCCUGAGGCCCAGAGCUGGUUGGGAGCAGCCUAAGAAUUACUCACAUUCCCUCAGUCCAGUGAGAUUUUGUCAUACUACACUGCUCCAGAAUCUUAGGGCAAGAGGGGAGAAAUAUAUCAAGAUACAGAAAGGAAUCUUCCUCCUCUUUGCUGCCAUUUUACCAGUAAACUUGUUAUUGGUUUCAAAAGGGGACAAAACCAAUAGAAAAUAAGUGAAACAUUUUUAAGAGAACAAAUUACUAAGGGAGAGGCAUGUGUUGUGAGAGAAUUAGCACCAGGGCAAGAGCCCAGAGCCCCAUCUCAAGAGUCCCUUGAAUUUGGGCAGAGCCCUUGAGCUUGGGCAGAGAGUGAUAGCUCCAAUUGGUGGGCAAGAAGGUUCUUACACUGAGGCAGAGUCUGAAUCUGGUGAAAUCAAAACUUUCUGUCAGUAAAAUUCUGAUAUAAAAUAAUGGGUUCCAAUGAUAAUCUCAACUUUUAUGGACAUUCGUGGUUCAUGCCUUAUCAAAAUGAAGAAAAAUAGUGUAAUCCCUCUGAAAAAGCUACUGUUGUUAAAAAAAAUAAUCCUUAUAGCUGAAAAUCUCAGAUGGAAUGUAAAAAAAAAUGUUGAUAACUCAUUUCUAAGGGAGGAGAUAGUACAAACAAAGAACAAAUUUCUGUUAUAAAAAACUAAACAACAAUCUUGACCUUGUCACUAUUAUUAUCUACCUUCUUGGUCUUGCAUGGACAAUUAUCCAACUCACAUUAAAGUUUAGAACACUGCCACCUCUACUUUGUGUUCAGACAGCCAUUGACUGUGUAGNNNNNNNNNNNNNNNNNNAACCUAAAUAGUUUAAAGCAAAAUAUGUUAACCAUUAUGCUAGAAUGAAAUUUAAUAUUCUAAAGGCUUUUGCUAAAAUAAAUAACCUGAGUUUACCAUUGUAACUAUAGUAAAGUCUAAAGCAGAUACACAUAAAAAAUAGCAGGCGAUCUGUACUGGAUUGAGCAUAUAAUUGGUGUCACUGUAAGAAAAUUCUCCCAAAGAGAAGUCGUAUCUCAGAAAUAGACCAUGAGGUGCUCUUGAAACUUUCUUGGAGCCCUCAUAUUUUAUGAUUAUUUUAAGAGAUGGGAUUCUCUGGCAUUGUCACUGCUGUGGCAAGGGUUCGAUCCCUGGGAACUUCUCUGCAUACCACAGGUGCAGCCAAGCAAACAAACAAAAAGACAAUAUAUGAACACAAGUUUGAUGUGCCUUCAGAAUCUUAAGAUUAUAAAGGAAAAGUGGAAUGUUAGGAUAAUUCUCAAAGAAGAAAAAAAUUACAGAAAAUUCUUUUUCUUUAUCUCUUCUUUUUAGGAACAAGAGUUGGAAAGGGGGCACUUUUUUGAAACAAAAUUAAAAACAAAGACAUAAAUACUGUACAUCCAUGAAAAAGUAAUAUGUGAACAUUCAAUACUAUGUGAAAAAGCAUGUGCUGGUUAAUCAAACUUAGAGGGCUAAGAUGUAAAAACAAGAGGGAGGAGUUCCCCUUGUGGUCAGUGGAAACAAAUCUGACUAGCAUACAUGUGAGUUUGCAGGUUCAAUCCCUGUCCUUGCUCAGUGGGUUAAGGAUCCGGCAUUGCCAUGAGCUGUGGUGUAGGUUGCAGACACGGCUCAGAUCUGGUGUUGCUGUGGCUGUGGUGUAGGCUGGCAGCUGCAGCUCUGAUUGACCCCUAGCCUGGGAACCUCCAUAUGCUGUGGGUG
rnacentral:lncRNA from 1 species